UAAUAACUAGGUUAGUAAACCUAGUUAAAUGUCUAGCAAAUUAAGUAAAGGAUUGAAACUUGUGGUAACUAUGAUGGGUAAUAAACUUGAGGGACUAGGAUUGCCAAAGUUGAAAGUGAAUUUAAUUAAAACAAAAAUCUCACACACACAAGGUGUGUGUGUGCGUGAGAACGAUCAGGAGAAGGGAGUGAGGGGUGUAAACCCUAACCCUCAAGAAACCAUCAAAUUGAAGAAGGAUUUCAGCCUAAACUAAUGCAUGAACACGUUUUCUUGAUGAUCUAGCCCUAUUAAACAUGUGGAGAGGGAUCACAUUAGCAUGGACUCAAGAACGGAACGUUAACGGGUCAUGAGGAGGUGAGGAAGCAAGCUUGAACACGGACGCUUAAGGUUAUACGGAUAACGGGCGGAUUAUCACAAA